CAGCUAUAUCACAUUGAAACACUAUUUCUCAGCGGAUCACCAAAGUUAAACAACAUUGUGCCUGGUCAGUAACUAGAUGGGUGACGACUUGGGAAUAUCCGGUGCUAUA